GGUUAAGUGAAUAAGGGCGCACGGUGGAUGCCUUGGCACUAGGAGCCGAUGAAGGACGGGACUAACACCGAUAUGCUUUGGGGAGCUGUACGUAAGCUAUGAUCCAGAGAUUUCCGAAUGGGGGAACCCAGCAUCUUUAAUAGGAUGUUACGAUUGUGUGAAUACAUAGCACAUUCGAGGUAGACGCAGAGAACUGAAACAUCUAAGUACCUGCAGGAAGAGAAAGAAAAUUCGAUUCCCUGAGUAGCGGCGAGCGAAACGGGAAAAGCCCAAACCAGCAAGCUUGCUUGUUGGGGUUGUAGGACUCCAAUAUGGUAGUUCUUUCAGAUAGUCGAAUGACUUGGAAAAGUCAGUCAAAGAGGGUAAAAACCCCGUAGACGAAAUGUGGAAGACACCUAGGAGGAUCCUGAGUACGGCGGAACACGAGAAAUUCCGUCGGAAUCCGGGAGGACCAUCUCCCAAGGCUAAAUACUCCCUAGUGACCGAUAGUGAACCAGUACCGUGAGGGAAAGGUGAAAAGCACCCCGGAAGGGGAGUGAAAUAGAACCUGAAACCGUGUGCCUACAACAAGUCAAAGCCCGUUAAUGGGUGAUGGCGUGCCUUUUGUAGAAUGAACCGGCGAGUUACGAUUGCAUGCGAGGUUAAGUUGAAGAGACGGAGCCGCAGCGAAAGCGAGUCUGAAUAGGGCGUUUGAGUAUGUAGUCGUAGACCCGAAACCAUGUGAUCUACCCAUGUCCAGGUUGAAGGUGCGGUAAAACGCACUGGAGGACCGAACCCACGUACGUUGAAAAGUGCGGGGAUGAGGUGUGGGUAGCGGAGAAAUUCCAAACGAACUUGGAGAUAGCUGGUUCUCUCCGAAAUAGCUUUAGGGCUAGCCUCGGAAUUGAGAAUGAUGGAGGUAGAGCACUGUUUGGACUAGGGGCCCAUCUCGGGUUACCGAAUUCAGAUAAACUCCGAAUGCCAUUCAUUCAUAUCCGGGAGUCAGACUGUGAGUGAUAAGAUCCAUAGUCGAAAGGGAAACAGCCCAGACCACCAGCUAAGGUCCCAAAAUAUAUGUUAAGUGGAAAAGGAUGUGGGGUUGCACAGACAACUAGGAUGUUGGCUUAGAAGCAGCCACCAUUUAAAGAGUGCGUAAUAGCUCACUAGUCGAGUGACCCUGCGCCGAAAAUGUACCGGGGCUAAACAUAUUACCGAAGCUGUGGAGUACACCUUUAGGUGUAUUGGUAGGAGAGCGUUCUAAGGGCGUUGAAGGCAGAUCGUGAGGACUGCUGGAGCGCUUAGAAGUGAGAAUGCCGGUAUGAGUAGCGAAAGACAGGUGAGAAUCCUGUCCACCGAAUGACUAAGGUUUCCUGGGGAAGGCUCGUCCGCCCAGGGUUAGUCGGGACCUAAGCCGAGGCCGACAGGCGUAGGCGAUGGAUAACAGGUUGAUAUUCCUGUACCCGUUGUUUUUGUUUGAGCAAUGGAGGGACGCAGGAGGCUAAGGAAUGCAGACGAUCGGAAAUGUCUGUCCAAGCAGUAAGUCUGAAGAGGAGUCAAAUGCUUCUUUUCUUAAGGACAAGCUGUGAUGGGGAGGGAAAUAAUAGUACCGAAGUUCCUGAUGUCACACUGCCGAGAAAAGCUUCUAGUGAGAAAACAGCGGCCCGUACCGCAAACCGACACAGGUAGUCGAGGAGAGAAUCCUAAGGUGAGCGAGAGAACUCUCGUUAAGGAACUCGGCAAAAUGACCCCGUAACUUCGGGAGAAGGGGUGCUGAUCAUACGAUCAGCCGCAGUGAAUAGGCCCAAGCGACUGUUUAUCAAAAACACAGGUCUCUGCAAAAUCGUAAGAUGAAGUAUAGGGGCUGACGCCUGCCCGGUGCUGGAAGGUUAAGAGGAGUGCUUAGCGCAAGCGAAGGUACGAAUUGAAGCCCCAGUAAACGGCGGCCGUAACUAUAACGGUCCUAAGGUAGCGAAAUUCCUUGUCGGGUAAGUUCCGACCCGCACGAAAGGCGUAACGAUUUGGGCACUGUCUCAACGAGAGACUCGGUGAAAUUUUAGUACCUGUGAAGAUGCAGGUUACCCGCGACAGGACGGAAAGACCCCAUGGAGCUUUACUGUAGUUUGAUAUUGAGUGUCUGUACCGCAUGUACAGGAUAGGUAGGAGCCGUAGAAAUCGGAACGCUAGUUUCGAUGGAGGCGCUGGUGGGAUACUACCCCUGCGUUAUGGCCACUCUAACCCGCACCACUAAUCGUGGUGGGAGACAGUGUCAGAUGGGCAGUUUGACUGGGGCGGUCGCCUCCUAAAAGGUAACGGAGGCGCCCAAAGGUUCCCUCAGAAUGGUUGGAAAUCAUUCGAAGAGUGUAAAGGCAGAAGGGAGCUUGACUGCGAGACCAACAAGUCGAGCAGGGACGAAAGUCGGGCUUAGUGAUCCGGUG
rnacentral:rRNA from 1 species